rnacentral:rRNA from 1 species
CCUACGGGAGGCAGCAGUGAGGAAUAUUGGUCAAUGGGCGAAAGCCUGAACCAGCAACGCCGCGUGAGGGAAGACGGUUUUCGGAUUGGAAACCUCUGUCCGCUGGGGAGAUAAUGACGCUACCUGAAGAGGAAGCUCCGGCUACCUACGUGCCAGCAGCCGCGGUAAUAAGUAGGGAGCCCGCGUUGUCAGGAAUUACUUGGUGUAAAGGGUGCGUAGGCGGGGGUGUAAGGCAGAAGUGAAAUUUAUGGGAUUAACCCGUAAAGUGCGUUUGAAACUGGAGUGCUUGAGUGAAGGAGAGGUAGGCGGAAUGCGCGGUGUAGCGGUGAAAUGCGUAGAGAUCGGGAGGAACACCAGUGGCGAAGGCGGCCUGCUGGGCUGUAACUGACGCUGAAGCACGAAAGCGUGGGUAGCAAACAGGAUUAGAUACCCGAGUAGUC